rnacentral:rRNA from 1 species
CGGGGGGGGCAAGCGUUGUUCGGAAUUACUGGGCGUAAAGGGCUCGUAGGCGGCCAACUAAGUCAGACGUGAAAUCCCUCGGCUUAACCGGGGAACUGCAUCUGAUACUGGAUGGCUUGAGUUCGGGAGAGGGAUGUGGAAUUCCAGGUGUAGCGGUGAAAUGCGUAGAUAUCUGGAGGAACACCGGUGGCGAAGGCGGCAUCCUGGACCGACACUGACGCUGAUGAGCGAAAGCCAGGGGAGCAAACGGGAUUAGAUACCCCGGUAGUCCUGGCCCUAAACGAUGAAUGCUUGGUGUGGCGGGUAUCGAUCCCUGCCGUGCCGAAGCUAACGCAUUAAGCAUUCCGCCUGGGGAGUACGGUCGCAAGGCUG